GACGAACGCUGGCGGCGUGCUUAACACAUGCCAGUCGAACGGAAAGGCCCUGCUUGCAGGGUACUCGAGUGGCGAACGGGUGAGUAACACGUGGGUGAUCUGCCCUGCACUUCGGGAUAAGCCUGGGAAACUGGGUCUAAUACCGGAUAGGAGCCAUUUUUAGUGUGAUGGUUGGAAAGUUUUUUCGGUGUAGGAUGAGCUCGCGGCCUAUCAGCUUGUUGGUGGGGUAAUGGCCUACCAAGGCGGCGACGGGUAGCCGGCCUGAGAGGGUGGACGGCCACAUUGGGACUGAGAUACGGCCCAGACUCCUACGGGAGGCAGCAGUGGGGAAUAUUGCACAAUGGGCGCAAGCCUGAUGCAGCGACGCCGCGUGGGGGAUGACGGCCUUCGGGUUGUAAACUCCUUUCGCUAGGGACGAAGCUUUUGUGACGGUACCUAGAUAAGAAGCACCGGCUAACUACAUG
rnacentral:rRNA from 1 species